ACUUUGUUCCCACUCCAAGGCCUUUACAUGGGCCAUUCCUUCAACCUCCCAAGAUCCUUGCCACUUCUUUCCCCUCUGCAACUCUCAGGUAAAGAUCGUAUCACCUAACACCCAGCCUCUGCCAGCACUGGAUUCCUGGACUAAAGCAGCUCCUGAGACCAGACACAAGCUAUUUAGUUAAAUGAACAACUCAAUUCAGUAAUCACAGAUGCUCCCAAACCCUGGCGACAAGGAAUUUCCACGAGACAAAGGAGUCCUGCCAAGCAGAGCUGGUUUUCAAAGACCGGCAAACCCACAAGGAAACAACUCACUGUGAGGGGAGAGAAGACAGGACCACUAGGACGCCAACAAGUGGGGCGCUGGUUUACAAGAGCUACGAGCAAAUACUCAGAACACUACAGAACCGCCUUGAAGGUUCGUAGGUAAGACUGAGCUAUACUGGUUCUCCAGUAUAUCGGGGUGACAUAAAGAAGCCAAGUUUUGUUCAUGAUCCUAGGCCAGACCACACCCAGAUUGAGAUGUGGGAUAAGACAAGCCCAUGACAAACUAAGGGUGGUGGGUGAGCCACAAGAUGACAGCCUUUUCUGGGCUAUAGGAGUCAGAUAAGCAGGGAGUCAAGGAAAGGCUCACAAGAGGACACGUUCAUUCCUCACAGCUUCCCAGGGAGCCACGAGGGUCAGCACGCUGAAGCAACCCUGGGUGCCUGCGUCCCUGACUUUGAAGGCUGGUGAGAAAUUCCGUCUCAGACGUUCCCCUCUGCUUCAGCACAAGAACGCUGAGAAAUAGUCUCCGUUUGGGUGCCUGUAAAGCACUCAUUGUCCAGGCCUAUGAUGUGAUUCAUGACGACAGCUGCUCCACACCCUCCCCACACGGUGGCAAUUAAGGGUCGUUUGUCAUAACUCCAAAGCCAAGGUCCAGUCCUUUCACUAAAUCCCCAUUUAUCCCAACCCUCUUGUCAGAGAAGGAGUAAAUCGAGAUUCCUGAGGAUGAGGAUCGCUUGUCUAGAGCCACCGCGUGUUUAUCCAAUAAUGCAGCAAAGCUUUCCCACUUUUUGGACCAGCGGUAUUUCCGCUGGCACGCCCUACUGACUAGCAUCCUCAGGCCACAGCUAUCUCACACCCACCCCAGGUGGAUCAAAUCCACUGCUCUCCCCAAGGAGGUCACAGUCCCGCUGAGUGAAUCAGAUCUCUGUGAAUGAUAUGGGAGUAGAUGGUGAUAGAGCUCCCUGUGGGCAGAUCUGAGAGACCUCACCUUUUAGAUACACCUUGGCAGCCCUUCCCUUCUCCCAGCCUCCUCUGCCUAUCUCCUUAACUGCUGGAGCUAAAUCCUUUCCUCAUUAGACAGACCGUCUCUCUGUGCUAACUUUGGUUUGUCAUAAACAUUUCUCUUCCACAAAAUGUAAUUCCAAAUCACUUACGAGUUACAAAACCUCCCCAGAACUUCUUUUCAAAACUACAGGUUGCCCAUGCGUGCAUCUAAAGACUGAGGUCUCCGUCCCCUUGUUCACGAACCUUCUAGACUUUCCAUUUCUUACAGUCUAGCUCAGCAGCUCUGAUUCUCUCCUUUGCUUUGGGUGACUUUCCAACAAACUCAAAUCCCCUUUCUGAAGGGAGAAAUAGGGAACAAAAUCCCAGAGCAAGUAAGAGGCAGAUCUGGACCCGAGGUUGGGUCUAGGACUGGGUGCAAAGGUUGAUCUAUGAUCAAGUCCAUGAGCUGGUCUAUGGCAGGUCAGUGCCUAGGUCUAUGGCUAGAUGUAGGGUUGAGACCAUGACGGAGUCUGUGGCUGACUCUAUGGCUGGAUUGGAGCUGGAAUUAGAUAUUUUCUGUGACUGAAUCCAUGUUAUAGAAAUGGUUAUGACUGUGUUCAUGGCUUGGUUCAAGUCUAGGUCCAUGGGUGGAACUGGAACUGAAUCCAGGGAUCACUCUGUUGCUAAGUCCAGGGUUGGUUUCUUACCUGUGUCCAGGGCCAGAUCCAGAAUGGGGCCCAUAGCUAGAUCCGUGCUGUAUCUAUGGCUGUGUGCCAUGCCUGUGUUCUUGGGUUGGUUCAAAGAAGUUCUAGUCUGAAUACAGCUGGCUCUAUGGAUAGGCUUAUGGUUAGAUCUAUGGUCGAUGGCUGGAUGCCCUAUCCCUGUGGCCAUAGUAACCCUAUCUGCCCUUCUAAACAAGUGGCCUCAGAGCCUUGGUCUGGCCCUUCUGCUGUUACUGCAGAUGGGGUUGUGAGCAGAGCCAGAUCUGUUCUGCAGUCCCUGUGACCUCCAACCAGCCUGGGCCAUAAUCUAAGAUCUUAGCUUCCUACAUAUGAAAUGAUCAGAUGAGGCUGAGAUUUUGGCCUACAAGCUGUGUCUUAUGGAGCCCUAAGUUUUUUGUGCACUUUUCCCAAGGCCUGGCAUGGAAGGUCGAGCUUGCAAACUGAACAUUACCCUCAGUUAAGUCUUCUCUAACUGGAACGAGCUAGCAUGAAUGAAGCCUUCACACAGGAAAACUGAAACAACUCAGGGGUUCCUCUUUACAUUCUGUUAACACAUGAUUUUACAGCCACAAAGGGACUAUUAUUAUACAGUUGGGGAAAUGAAGAUACUAAAAGAAUAUAAUUGUCUGAUCAAUAUAUUUGAGCAUUUUAUUUGUGGCUUAAUAAAUUCCCAAUGUCUGGAGGAAAAAAAGAGAAA